rnacentral:lncRNA from 1 species
GUUUGGGUGAGGAGGAGAGCUGCAACCCGGCCCAUGGAAGCCAGGGAAUGGGGAGCUGAUUUAAGCUGGCCACCUGAAGUCACCCAGGUAGGUGUCUAGGCAGAUCAGGAUCCCUAGACACUUGUUCUUUUUUCCCUCUCUUCUCAGCUGGGGGAGCUUUGAGAGGUGAACUUCCAGAAGGGAAUGGAUUUUUGUGAGGCCCCAGUGUUGUUCAUGGGCAUCAGAUCCUGCAAGAAACCUUCAGGAACCUCUUGCCGGGCACUCACUCUGAAUGGAGGAAUCUCUACGUGUCCGGAGCAGACACCCAAUGGUGUCUUCUGUGAAACAACAUGAGCUCUAUUUACUGAGUUCCAUCCAUGUACCACAGACAUCACAUAUAUUAUUUCUAAUUCCUAUGACAACCCUGCAAGGUGGGUAGGUUUCAUUCACCUUUCACAGAUGAGAA